UACAGAGGGUGCAAGCGUUGUUCGGAAUUAUUGGGCGUAAAGGGCGCGUAGGCGGUGCGGUAAGUCUUUUGUGAAAUCUCCGGGCUCAACUCGGAGUCUGCAGGAGAAACUGCCGUGCUGGAGUAUGGGAGAGGUGAGUGGAAUUCCCGGUGUAGCGGUGAAAUGCGUAGAUAUCGGGGAGGAACACCUGUGGCGAAAGCGGCUCACUGGACCAUUACUGACGCUGAGGCGCGAAAGCUAGGGGAGCAAACGGG
rnacentral:rRNA from 1 species